UCAUCUGGUGGUAUCACCUGUUUUCUCUCUAAAGGGACAAGUUUUGCAGGAGAAUGAAACAUUAUUGGAAGUGGUCUUACUGUUUUUAGCACUUGGGUCCCUAGUUAAAAUUGUCACAAUUUAAAUAGAUAUUUAGAAAGAACGCUUAAGACAAUCAAAUAUAUUGAAAUGAUUAUUUCCAGAUUCUGGCUAAUUAUAAUAAAAUUACACAGGGAAAAUGAAAAAUAUACGCACAAUAAAAUUUGACAGAGUAAUUUAGUUGUUGGUUAUAUUUUGUGAAUGUAUUGCUUCAAUGCUACCCAACAACAUAAAUAAGUCUUUCAAUUUGGUUUUAGUGGGUUAAGCUGCUACCGUUUAAACAAACCCAACGUUGUUCUUAGGAGUUCAUAUCAUUGAGUGUUGAGCUAGUAGUUUAAAGAAGUAAAUUAGAGAUCCAAAAAGUAUGGCCAGUACUGAGAUACGUUGCUGUGUCUUUUUGAUUCCAGCUUUCUCUCGGUCUGUUGAUUCCUCUGUUUUUGUUUGUUUGUUUUGAUUAUGAGUGAAAAUUUUGUUUAUUUAAAGAAAGUUUUCUUGAUUAAAAAAAAUAAUAAUAAUCAAUUUAGUACUUUUAAGAUUGAUCAAUGUUAUUUUUGGUAGUGUGCAUUGAGUAGGUACUUGUUUCUUUGGACAGUAGAUUCAAGUAAAAAAAUAUAUAUUUGUUGUCUUUUUCUUUUGAAAUAGUGUCUACCAUUACUGUCAUUUGUGUUGUGGGUUGUGACUACAAGGAAUACAGCUACGGCCGGAAUUGUCAUAGCAGCUUAGAACAUUUUAGCUAACCCUAACCCUUUUCCUAACCUUAACCCUUUUCCUAACCCUAACCUGCCACGAUAAUGAUCCUAACUUGCUUCGUAAAUUCUCCUAACCUGAUACGAAGAAGGCACUUCCAGUCAUAGCAGUACUCCUGCUAGUGAGAACUGUGUGUUUUUCUCCAUCUCUGGCUUUAAAUGUUUGAGAUUUCCAAUCCAUCUGUGUCAACAGGUUUUGGCAAUUUCACACUGGUGUACUUACUGCUCAUCAGUCCAAGAUAAUUAUGUGUUAUACCUCUUACAAAUCAUUUCUGAAAUGUGUCCCAAAUUGUAAUCAUUCAGUCAGUGGUUAGGGAAUGCAGUGUCUGAACAGUUAUAUUACCUCCUAGAGCAAUGUAGAACCUUGCACAAUGUUAAUGUGCAAGGUUCUGAGAUGUUUUAUGAGGUCACAACUUCCAUGGUUCUCAAGGCGGCUCUCACAGUCACAGCAGGUACUGUGUCCAUAUCCUCACUCUUCUGUCCUAUGUUCAGAAACUAGGCCACCAUCCAAGGUCAAACCUCUAAUCUGACUGUUAUUUCUCAAAAUGGCCAGUGAUCUAUGCAAUUAAUUUAUUGUCUACAAUAAUGCAAUACUUAUAUUUCAGGUGACAACAAUGGACUGUUUGUCAAUAGUGACUUUUGAAACACAAAUGUCUCAUUCUGCUAUCAGUGGCUUUCAUUUGAGUUGAACUUAAUCCAAAACCUCUAGUUGUACAACUAUCAGCCUCAUUGUUCAUCUAAUGACAGUGAGAUGGCUGCAUAAAAGGGAAUGGUUCAUGAGAUUGGAGCAGAUCCCUCAGCUAUCUUGCAAAAGGCCUCACACCAUCUAACAAUGGGAAACAGAUGACCUUGUCCAGCCAGAUAGGGUCCUUAUUGUUGUUGGUUAACCAAAUAUUGGUAGAUUUGUUUUGUUUGUUACCAAAGACAACUUCCGGUAGGCAUUUGAACAUUUCUUAAGUGAUCAAUGCUGUAGAAUAAAUCUGUCAUUUGUUUUAUCUUGUUCCUUUCCAUUGAUUUGUUGACACUUGUAAUAAUCUCUAUGAAUCAUUAAUUCAUUUGUGGUAGGAAGUAAGAAUCACAGAAAUGCCUUAGAUUUCAUCAAGAGGGGAUUUAAAGAGUGGAUUUAAAGAAUGGCAACAUUCACCCAUUGUCUGCAAAUGUUUGAUAAACAGGACUACUUUUCUUAGAUUUGUAGUAUCAGUUUUAG
ensembl:lncRNA